rnacentral:rRNA from 1 species
UUAAAUGAAUUGACGGGGAGCACCACAACGGGUGGAGCUUGCGGUUUAAUUUGGAUUCAACGCCGGAAAUCUUACCGGGACCGACAGCAAUAUGAAGGCCAGGCUGAAGACUUUGCCGGAUUAGCUGAGAGGUGGUGCAUGGCCGUCGUCAGUUCGUACUGUGAAGCAUCCUGUUAAGUCAGGCAACGAGCGAGACCCACGCCCACAGUUGCCAGCGUACUCUCUGGAGUGACGGGUACACUGUGGGACCGCCGCUGCUAAAGCGGAGGAAGGAAUGGGCAACGGUAGGUCAGUAUGCCCCGAAUAUCCCGGGCUACACGCGAGCUACAAUGGUUGGUACAAUGGGUAUCUACCCCGAAAGGGGACGGGAAUCUCCUAAAACCAAUCUUAGUUCGGAUUGAGGGCUGCAACUCGCCCUCAUGAAGCUGGAAUCCGUAGUAAUCGCGUUUCAACAGAACGCGGUGAAUACGUCCCUGCUCCUU